CCUCCCUGCACCCCUCCCGCCCUGGGGCUCCUUCCUGGAUUGCGGCUGCAACCUUCUCCUACCGGAGGGCUCGGAGUUCGUCCCCUUUUCGCUGUUGGGAACCUGGACACGCCGGAGCCUGGAUGCAGGAAGACGCGCGGGAGCAUGGAGCUGGUGCGCGAGCCGCAGCCCAGCGUCCAGUCUGCACCACUAUCUGCUGAUCCCAAGGACUACGGGAACCCUGCGCGCCGAUGGUGGCCUGGGAGUUGGCGCGGGCCUUGGCGCUAGAAAACGGAUCCCACUCCCAGAAAGGCGGGCCGGGUAUCCCGCUCCUGCCUCCUGGAGAAUUAGUUCGGCGGAGUGCGUGGCCAGGGAGGGAGGAAGGGAGGGAGGGAGGGAGGGACAGGCCAUGGGGCUACCAGCCGGGUAGGGAGUAGCUUCUGGGGGAUUCCCUUGCCUACCGAGGGCCGGCGAGGCUACUCUCAGAGCGCCACCAGGUACGUGCGUUUUCCUUGUUUCCCGCGCGCCCAGAGCGCACUCUGGGGAGGGAAUGAAUAAAAACCCAGCUGGUGUGUAGGAGAUUUUCGCAGCAAACGUGUCUUUCUGAGGGGUCCUGGGACGGCAUCUGAACUCGGGGUAGCCCCUGCGCUGUGUUCUGGAAUCCCUACUGGGCUCUCCACCAUCCGCAGGACGGGGCUUGGAGCCAGUCCCUGUGGAAAUGCUCGUCGCUUUCUUCCGUGGCCCAGGAAAUUCACCCAGGACGCCGUGGGUACCACAGCAGGAUGGUUCUGUUUCAUAAUGGUUCAUACAGCUAUCCACCAACCCGGAAACCUAGAAUUCUCGUUUUCUGAGCCGGGAUGUUUACUUUAGGGAAACCCGGGCUUGGCUCUUGCUGCGCGCCGGGUGUCCAGGAACGAAUCCCUCCGGGAUCCGAGAACUCCAGAUUUGCGGGGUUAGGAGACACCCUCAGCGGACUGAGUUGUGGUUUUUUUGGUUGGUGGUGUUUUGUUAUUUUUCAGCAUCAGAAGAGCCUGGUAGCUGAACUGGAGCGGGCCCCGUCCCCUCCCCCAUACCCACUUCAAACAAAAGAGCUCCUCCGAGAAUAUUUUUUAGGGGGAGAGAGCUUCUGAAUGUGGACCCACAGCUCUCCCCGCCCCCCGUUUUUAGGAAGGACGAGGGUUUUAUAUGUGUGUUUAAAACAAAGGGGAAGCCUGGCGCGAGUUGCCGGGAAAGGGGCGUUUUUAUUUUGAAGUUCUUGAAGAAUUCACUUUCUUUUCUCCCAAGUUAGCCGAAGCUGAGCCAGAAGUGUCCCCACCGGUUUACCCGACUGUGGGAUUUUACACGGUGUCGGCUAACGGUGGCGUUGUGAGAAGGCCAUUUCAGAAGAGGAAAUGGGCUUCUGGCUGGUUGGGUGGAAUGAAAAGUACUUCCAGCUUCUGCGGAAAAUUUCAAAGUAAGAGUCCCGGAUGUACUCGAUGCGCGCGUCUGUCUGUCCGCGCGGCGCUUGGUGGGUAGUCCCGCUUCCACCAAAACUCUGCGUUCCGUCUCUCUCAAAAUAAAACUCAACAAGUCAUAAAGCUUCCAACGCCGGUGGAGAAGGCGCCUCGGAUUUAUGGCCCCCGAAUUCCCCACUCUCUAAUUAUCCUUGUUUUUACUUGACUUAUGGGUAGUGACCAAUAAAAUCAUUUUCCAUUUUA